rnacentral:tRNA from 1 species
UGGUAUUUAGUUUAAAAAAAACAAAUGGUUUCGACCCAUUAAAUUAUGAUUUAAUUCAUAAAUACCAU